rnacentral:rRNA from 1 species
UACGUAGGGGGCAAGCGUUGUCCGGAAUUAUUGGGCGUAAAGCGCGCGCAGGCGGUCAUUUAAGUUUGGUGUUUAAGCCCGGGGCUCAACCCCGGAUCGCACUGAAAACUGGGUGACUUGAGUGCGGGAGAGGAAAGUGGAAUUCCACGUGUAGCGGUGAAAUGCGUAGAGAUGUGGAGGAACACCAGUGGCGAAGGCGACUUUCUGGACCGUAACUGACGCUGAGGCGCGAAAGCGUGGGGAGCAAACAGGG